AGCGAACGCUGGCGGCAGGCUUAACACAUGCAAGUCGAACGCCCGUAGCAAUACGGGAGUGGCAGACGGGUGAGUAACGCGUGGGAACAUGCCCUUUGGUUCGGAAUAACUCAGGGAAACUUGAGCUAAUACCGGAUAAGCCCGAGAGGGGAAAGAUUUAUCGCCGAAGGAUUGGCCCGCGUCCGAUUAGCUAGUUGGUGAGGUAAUGGCUCACCAAGGCGACGAUCGGUAGCUGGUCUGAGAGGAUGAUCAGCCACACUGGGACUGAGACACGGCCCAGACUCCUACGGGAGGCAGCAGUGGGGAAUAUUGGACAACGGGGGCAACCCUGAUCCAGCCACGCCGCGUGAGUGAUGAUGGCCCUAGGGUUGUAAAGCUCUUUCGGCGGGGACGAUAAUGACGGUACCCGCAGAAGAAGCCCCGGCUAACUUCGUGCCAGCCGCCGCAGUAA
rnacentral:rRNA from 1 species